rnacentral:rRNA from 1 species
UACCAGCUCUCCGAGUGGUAGGGAUGAUUAUUGGGCUUAAAGCGUCCGUAGCCGGCUUAGCAAGUCUCCUGAUAAAUUCAGCGACCUAAUCGUUGAGCCGCGGGAGAUACUACUAGGCUAGGAGGCGGGAGAGGUCAACGGUACUUCCGGGGUAGGGGUGAAAUCCUAUAAUCCCGGGAGGACCACCAGUGGCGAAGGCUGUUGACUAGAACGCGCUCGACGGUGAGGGACGAAAGCUGGGGGAGCGAACCGGAUUAGAUACCCGGGUAGUCCCAGCUGUAAACGAUGCGAGCUAGGUGUUGGGGUGGCUACGUGCCACUUAAGUGCCGCAGGGAAGCCAUUAAGCUCGCCGCCUGGGGAGUACGGCCGCAAGGCUGAAACUUAAAGGAAUUGGCGGGGGAGCACCACAAGGCGUGAAGCUUGCGGUUC